UACGUAGGGGGCUAGCGUUGUCCGGAAUCAUUGGGCGUAAAGAGCGUGUAGGCGGCCCGGUAAGUCCGCUGUAAAAGUCAAAGGCUCAACCUUUGAAUGUCAGUGGAUACUGCCGGGCUAGAGUCCGGAAGAGGCGAGUGGAACUCCUGGUGUAGCGGUGGAAUGCGCAGAUAUCUGGAGGAAUACCGGUGGCGAAGGCGGCAUCCUGGACCGGCAUUGACGCUGAGGAGCGAAAGCUAGGGGAGCAAACGGG
rnacentral:rRNA from 1 species